CCUACGGGUGGCUGCAGUGGGGAAUAUUGGACAAUGGGCGAAAGCCUGAUCCAGCCAUGCCGCGUGUGUGAAGAAGGCCUUCGGGUUGUAAAGCACUUUCAGUGGGGAAGAAAGCCUUGGGGCUAAUACCCUCGAGGAAGGACAUCACCCACAGAAGAAGCACCGGCUAACUCCGUGCCAGCAGCCGCGGUAAUACGGAGGGUGCGAGCGUUAAUCGGAAUUACUGGGCGUAAAGCGCGCGUAGGCGGUCUGAUAAGCCGGUUGUGAAAGCCCCGGGCUCAACCUGGGAACGGCAUCCGGAACUGUCAGGCUAGAGUGCAGGAGAGGAAGGUAGAAUUCCCGGUGUAGCGGUGAAAUGCGUAGAGAUCGGGAGGAAUACCAGUGGCGAAGGCGGCCUUCUGGACUGACACUGACGCUGAGGUACGAAAGCGUGGGUAGCAAACAGGAUUAGAUACCCCAGUAGUC
rnacentral:rRNA from 1 species